GCGACGAUCGUCCAGUCUGGUCUAGGACAUCAGCCCUCCAAGCUGAUAACGCGGGUCCAAAUCCCGCUCGUCGCA
rnacentral:tRNA from 1 species